rnacentral:rRNA from 1 species
GACGAACGCUGGCGGCGUGCUUAACACAUGCAAGUCGAACGGAAAGGCCCUGCUUUUGUGGGGUGCUCGAGUGGCGAACGGGUGAGUAACACGUGAGUAACCUGCCCUUGACUUUGGGAUAACUUCAGGAAACUGGGGCUAAUACCGGAUAGGAGCUCCUGCGGCAUGGUGGGGGUUGGAAAGUUUCGGCGGUUGGGGAUGGACUCGCGGCUUAUCAGCUUGUUGGUGGGGUAGUGGCUUACCAAGGCUUUGACGGGUAGCCGGCCUGAGAGGGUGACCGGCCACAUUGGGACUGAGAUACGGCCCAGACUCCUACGGGAGGCAGCAGUGGGGAAUAUUGCACGAUGGGCGGAAGCCUGAUGCAGCAACGCCGCGUGCGGGAUGACGGCCUUCGGGUUGUAAACCGCUUUCGCCUGUGACGAAGCGUGAGUGACGGUAAUGGGUAAAGAAGCACCGGCUAACUACGUG